rnacentral:rRNA from 1 species
AGAGUUUGAUCCUGGCUCAGAACGAACGCUGGCGGCAGGCCUAACACAUGCAAGUCGAGCGCCCGCAAGGGAGCGGCAGACGGGUGAGUAACGCGUGGGAACGUGCCCUUUGGUUCGGAAUAUUCCCGGGAAACUGGGAGCAAAACCGGAUAAGCCCUUCGGGGGAAAGUUUACGCCCAAGGAUCGGCCCGCGUUAGAUUAGGUAGUUGGUGGGGUAACGGCCUACCAAGCCUACGAUCUAUAGCUGAUCUGAGAGGAUGAUCAGCCACACUGGGACUGAGACACGGCCCAGACUCCUACGGGAGGCAGCAGUGGGGAAUCUUGGACAAUGGGCGCAAGCCUGAUCCAGCCAUGCCGCGUGGAUGACUGAAGGCCCUAGGGUUGUAAAGUCCUUUCGACGGGGACGAUAAUGACGGUACCCGUAGAAGAAGCCCCGGCUAACUUCGUGCCAGCAGCCGCGGUAAUACGAAGGGGGCUAGCGUUGUUCGGAUUUACUGGGCGUAAAGGGCGCGUAGGCGGAUUUUUAAGUCGGGGGUGAAAUCCCGGAGCUCAACUCCGGAACUGCCUUCGAUACUGGAAGUCUGGAGCACGGUAGAGGUGAGUGGAAUUCCGAGUGUAGCGGUGAAAUGCGUAGA